UCUGCAGAGCUUCAUGUUGUUACAGUAAAGGGCAGUUACAUCGAAGGCCUCUUGCUCCUUGCAUUUCUUCCUGUCACUCGAUGCAGGAGACACUUCCUGUUGGCUAAGAAGGGCCCUCACAAGACUGCAAGAGCUGCAUCAGGCAAUGAGUGUUCUAGAGAGAAGUGGGACCCCACCGGGGCCACUAGAAGAGGGGGCUCUCUCUUCCCAUAUACUUUGUAGUCAAACCCAGGGGUUAACUCUAGAGAUUAUCUAGAAAGGGGGAAGGGGUUGACUGAACCAUAUAGAGAGAGCCAGGGGGCAAGACUAGUGGCAGAGAAAGGAUAAGAAUAUGGGGCUUUUUCUAAUCAACAUUUUUUUUAAUUGCAAGGCAUUAUGUGGUUUACAACUUGGCCAUUUCCCAACCAAUAUCCACCCUCCCCAUACCCACCCACAAGCCAUCCUUUCCUGCCCCAAACCCAUAUUCUCCCCCGCCAUGUCUAUUGUAGGGAACAGAGAAAAGGUGGGAGAAGUAGAGGAAAGAACAAGAAGGAAGAUGGAGAAGACAGGCAGAAGAAAGGAAUAAAAGGAAAGGAAACACAUAUCUUUGUAUCAGAUACGGCGAAGGCCGAGAAAGACCCCGUCUGAAACCUUGAGAAGCUGCUGCCGGACUCAAAAUAAACUAUGAAAUCCCAUCUUCAGCCAACGUGCCAAAUAAAGUUCCUCAGCAUAAUUUUCAACUCAACUCUGGCAGAGAUCCACCUUCCCCCAGACUGUACCGGUCUCAUCAGGGAACUCUUCAUGCUUCUUCACAAGUCUCCACUUCAUUCUGCAAAAGAAAUCCAGUGAUUGUUAGGUGUCAUGGCGUCCGUGAUGGCAGUUCGGCCCACCGCCCGCUUGUACAUGCAGCCUCCACAGAGGUGGUUUCUAGAUUUUUUCAACCCUCAAUGGGAUUCCCAAACCAGGAUGCUAAAUAUACUGUUUAGUGUUGACAAGACCAUGGGCUGGUGAAUCUCCAUGACCCACCUGCCACAAUCCACCCCUUUCCUGCAGCCCGGCCCACGCACCCGGAAGCAGUGUGUCACAUACAUUACUUGGAGCUUUUGGCCGUGUUCAAGGCUAUAAAAGGUUUCCAUCCAGACAUUAUAGGAUGUCA